UAACACGUAUCCAACCUGCCGUCUACUCUUGGACAGCCUUCUGAAAGGAAGAUUAAUACAAGAUGGCAUCAUGGGUUCACAUGUUCACAUGAUUAAAGGUAUUCCGGUAGACGAUGGGGAUGCGUUCCAUUAGAUAGUAGGCGGGGUAACGGCCCACCUAGUCUUCGAUGGAUAGGGGUUCUGAGAGGAAGGUCCCCCACAUUGGAACUGAGACACGGUCCAAACUCCUACGGGAGGCAGCAGUGAGGAAUAUUGGUCAAUGGGCGAGAGCCUGAACCAGCCAAGUAGCGUGAAGGAUGACUGCCCUAUGGGUUGUAAACUUCUUUUAUAAAGGAAUAAAGUCGGGUAUGCAUACCCGUUUGCAUGUACUUUAUGAAUAAGGAUCGGCUAACUCCGUGCCAGCAGCCGCGGUAAUACGGAGGAUCCGAGCGUUAUCCGGAUUUAUUGGGUUUAAAGGGAGCGUAGAUGGAUGUUUAAGUCAGUUGUGAAAGUUUGCGGCUCAACCGUAAAAUUGCAGUUGAUACUGGAUAUCUUGAGUGCAGUUGAGGCAGGCGGAAUUCGUGGUGUAGCGGUGAAAUGCUUAGAUAUCCCGAAGAACUCCGAUUGCGAAGGCAGCCUGCUAAGCUGCAACUGACAUUGAGGCUCGAAAGUGUGGGUAUCAAACAGGAUUAGAUACCCUGGUGGUCCACACGGUAAACGAUGAAUACUCGCUGU
rnacentral:rRNA from 1 species